rnacentral:rRNA from 1 species
GUCGUGGGCACCUCGCAAGAGGUGACCGGCGAACGGGUGCGUAACACGUGAGCGACCUACCGAUGCGCGGGGGAUAGCCGGCCCAACGGCCGGGUAAUACCGCAUACGCCAGUCGGGCCGCAUGGCCUGACUGGGAAACCUCCGGGGCGGAUCGAGGGGCUCGCGGCCUAUCAGCUAGUUGGCGGGGUAACGGCCCACCAAGGCGACGACGGGUAGCUGGUCUGAGAGGAUGGCCAGCCACAUUGGGACUGAGAAACGGCCCAGACUCCUACGGGAGGCAGCAGUGGGGAAUAUUGCGCAAUGGCCGCAAGGCUGACGCAGCGACGCCGCGUGUGGGAUGACGCCCUUCGGGGUGUAAACCACUGUUGCCCGGGACGAACGAGGAGAUUCAUCUCCUGUGACGGUACCGGGUGAGGAAGCACCGGCUAACUCCGUGCCAGCAGCCGCGGUAAUACGGAGGGUGCGAGCGUUGUCCGGAAUCACUGGGCGUAAAGGGCGCGUAGGCGGCUUGGUAAGGGGGCGGUGAAAGCCCGGGGCUCAACCCCGGGUCUGCCGGACCGACUGCCGAGCUCGAGCACACUAGGGGCAGGUGGAAUUCCGGGUGUAGCGGUGGAAUGCGUAGAGAUCCGGAAGAACACCGGUGGCGAAGGCGGCCUGCCGGGGUGUGGCUGACGCUGAGGCGCGACAGCGUG